CCAAUACAGGUGCUGCAUGGCUGUCGUCAGCUCGUGUCGUGAGAUGUUGGGUUAAGUCCCGCAACGAGCGCAACCCUCAUUUUUAGUUGCUAACAGGUUUGGCUGAGCACUCUAGAGAAACUGCCGGUGACAAACCGGAGGAAGGUGGGGAUGACGUCAAGUCCUCAUGGCCCUUAUGGGCUGGGCUACACACGUACUACAAUGGUGGUGACAGAAGGUUGCGAAGGGGUGACCUGGAGCUAAUCCUCAAAAGCCAUCUCAGUUCGGAUUGUUCUCUGCAACUCGAGAACAUGAAGUCGGAAUCGCUAGUAAUCGUAGAUCAGCAUGCUACGGUGAAUACGUUCACGGGCCUUGUACACACCGCCCGUCACACCAUGGGAGUUGGUUUUACCUUAAGGCGGCGCGCUAACCUUUCGAGGAGGCAGCCGAC
rnacentral:rRNA from 1 species